UACAGAGGUCCCGAGCGUUGUUCGGAUUCACUGGGCGUAAAGGGUGCGUAGGUGGCUGGGCAAGUUUGAUGUGAAAGCUCAGGGCUUAACCCUGAAAUGGCAUUGAAUACUGCCUGGCUGGAGGUUUGGAGGGGGGACUGGAAUUCUUGGUGUAGCAGUGAAAUGCGUAGAUAUCAAGAGGAACACCAGUGGCGAAGGCGGCUGGCUGGGUCCACAUUGACGCUGAGGCUCGAAAGCGUGGGGAGCAAACAGG
rnacentral:rRNA from 1 species